rnacentral:tRNA from 1 species
GCCGGGAUGGCGGAACUGGUAGACGCGCCAGACUCAAAAUCUGGUGAGAGUAAUCUCGUGUGGGUUCGAUUCCCUCUCCCGGCACCA